UCCGGGAUGGUCUAAUCGGUUAAGGCGUCGCCCCGGACAGGCAGAGGUUGCGGGUUCAAUCCCCGCUCCAGGCC
rfam:Ixodes scapularis strain Wikel colony gcontig_1108378596414, whole genome shotgun sequence.